UUAGGAAGAUUUCAUACUUCCUGAGAAUAAAAUGUAUACCGCAAUACCCGAGUUCGAAUCCUGACGAAAUCAUCUAGGCUCUAAUUAGUAUUUUGUAAUAGAUUCUUUAUAAUAGUGAAGUUGAAGGUCACGGUCGGUCAUUACGAUAUUACCGAUCAGCUGUCAAAUGCGAGAUGACGUUUUGUGUACCGACCGGAGGCAAUGCUCAUGUGAUGUGUUAGUUAUGUGCCAUAGUUUCGGAUAUUUUAAGUAAUAGAAAUCUUUAUUAAUUUGCGAUUAGCAAAUAAUGUGUUCUGGAUCGAAUUAUAGAAGGGCCUAACGGGAAUGCCCUUCUUGGAGCCUGUUAUUUACAAACCCUGAAUACAGCUAGCCGAGGUCUGGUUUUGGCAGAGUUCCAGCAUAAGAUAGAAAAACUCUCCUGGCGCCUAAAACCUAGGAUAAGAUUUAGCCUAAGUGUUUGUUGUGUGCAAUAAAUUAGUUAAAACGUC